CGUAAUGUGUCCUGCAGCUUCCAAGG
rnacentral:piRNA from 1 species